AUUCCAGCUCCAAUAGCGUAUACUAAAGUUGUUGCAGUUAAAAAGCUCGUAGUUGGAUUUCUGUUAUUAAAAAUCGGUCGUGUCCUCACGGAUUCUGUACCAGGUUUCUUAAUUGCAUCUUCAAGGUUCUGGUAUCUGGUAUUAAUUUAUCGGGUAUUCGGUCCUUGUCAUUUACUGUGAGCAAAAUAGAGUGUUCAAAGCAGGCUUAGGCCAUGAAUACAUUAGCAUGGAAUAAUAAGAUAGGACCUUGGUCUAUUUUGUUGGUUUACAUUCCAAGGUAAUGAUUAAUAGGGAUAGUUGGGGGUAUUUGUAUUCAAUUGUCAGAGGUGAAAUUCUUGGAUUUAUGGAAGACAAACUACUGCGAAAGCAUUUACCAAGGAUGUUUUCAUCG
rnacentral:rRNA from 1 species